GAUGAACGCUGGCGGCGUGCCUAAUACAUGCAAGUCGAGCGAACGGACGAGAAGCUUGCUUCUCUGAUGUUAGCGGCGGACGGGUGAGUAACACGUGGAUAACCUACCUAUAAGACUGGGAUAACUUCGGGAAACCGGAGCUAAUACCGGAUGAUAUUUUGAACCGCAUGGUUCAAAAGUGAAAGACGGUCUUGCUGUCGCUUAUAGAUGGAUCCGCGCUGCAUUAGCUAGUUGGUAAGGUAAUGGCUUACCAAGGCAACGAUGCAUAGCCGACCUGAGAGGGUGAUCGGCCACACUGGAACUGAGACACGGUCCAGACUCCUACGCGAGGCAGCAGUAGGGAAUCUUCCGCAAUGGGCGAAAGCCUGACGGAGCAACGCCGCGUGAGUGAUGAAGGUCUUCGGAUCGUAAAACUCUGUUAUUAGUGAAGAACAUAUGUGUAAGUAACUGGGAACAUCUUGACGGUACCUAAUCAGAAAGCCACGGCUAACUACGUG
rnacentral:rRNA from 1 species